GAGUUUGAUCCUGGCUCAGGACGAACGCUGGCGGCGCGCCUAACACAUGCAAGUCGAACGAGCGAGAGAGAGCUUGCUUUCUCAAGCGAGUGGCGAACGGGUGAGUAACGCGUGAGGAACCUGCCUCAAAGAGGGGGACAACAGUUGGAAACGACUGCUAAUACCGCAUAAGCCCACAGCUCGGCAUCGAGCAGAGGGAAAAGGAGCAAUCCGCUUUGAGAUGGCCUCGCGUCCGAUUAGCUGGUUGGUGAGGUAAUGGCCCACCAAGGCGACGAUCGGUAGCCGGACUGAGAGGUUGAACGGCCACAUUGGGACUGAGACACGGCCCAGACUCCUACGGGAGGCAGCAGUGGGGAAUAUUGCACAAUGGGGGAAACCCUGAUGCAGCGACGCCGCGUGGAGGAAGAAGGUCUUCGGAUUGUAAACUCCUGUUGUUGAGGAAGAUAAUGACGGUACUCAACAAGGAAGUGACGGCUAACUACGUGCCAGCAGCCGCGGUAAAACGUAGGUCACAAGCGUUGUCCGGAAUUACUGGGUGUAAAGGGAGCGCAGGCGGGAAGACAAGUUGGAAGCGAAAUCUAUGGGCUCAACCCAUAAACUGCUUUCAAAACUGUUUUUCUUGAGUAGUGCAGAGGUAGGCGGAAUUCCCGGUGUAGCGGUGGAAUGCGUAGAUAUCGGGAGGAACACCAGUGGCGAAGGCGGCCUACUGGGCACCAACUGACGCUGAGGCUCGAAAGUGUGGGUAGCAAACAGGAUUAGAUACCCUGGUAGUCCACACCGUAAACGAUGAUUACUAGGUGUUGGAGGAUUGACCCCUUCAGUGCCGCAGUUAACACAAUAAGUAAUCCACCUGGGGAGUACGACCGCAAGGUUGAAACUCAAAGGAAUUGACGGGGGCCCGCACAAGCAGUGGAGUAUGUGGUUUAAUUCGACGCAACGCGAAGAACCUUACCAAGUCUUGACAUCCCUUGACGAACAUAGAAAUAUGUUUUCUCUUCGGAGCAAGGAGACAGGUGGUGCAUGGUUGUCGUCAGCUCGUGUCGUGAGAUGUUGGGUUAAGUCCCGCAACGAGCGCAACCCUUACUGUCAGUUACUACGCAAGAGGACUCUGGCAGGACUGCCGUUGACAAAACGGAGGAAGGUGGGGAUGACGUCAAAUCAUCAUGCCCUUUAUGACUUGGGCUACACACGUACUACAAUGGCGUUAAACAAAGAGAAGCAAGACCGCGAGGUGGAGCAAAACUCAGAAACAACGUCCCAGUUCGGACUGCAGGCUGCAACUCGCCUGCACGAAGUCGGAAUUGCUAGUAAUCGUGGAUCAGCAUGCCACGGUGAAUACGUUCCCGGGCCUUGUACACACCGCCCGUC
rnacentral:rRNA from 1 species